GAUGAAGAACGUAGCAAAAUGCGAUAAGUAAUGUGAAUUGCAGAAUUCAGUGAAUCAUCGAAUCUUUGAACGCACAUUGCGCCCGCCAGUAUUCUGGCGGGCAUGCCUGUUCGAGCGUCAUUUCAACCCUCAAGCCCUCGGGUUUGGUGUUGGGGAUCGGCGAGCCUUUCUGGCAAGCCGGCCCCGAAAUCUAGUGGCGGUCUCGCUGCAGCCUCCAUUGCGUAGUAGUAAAACCCUCGCAACUGGAACGCGGCGCGGCCAAGCCGUUAAACCCCCAACUUCUGAAUGUUGACCUCGGAUCAGGUAGGAAUACUCGCUGAACUUAAGCAUAUCAAUAAGCGGAGGA
rnacentral:misc_RNA from 1 species